rnacentral:rRNA from 1 species
GGAAACCAUAGAGCUGUGGCACCACCUGAUCCCAUUCCGAACUCAGAAGUGAAACACAGUAUCGCCGAUGGUAGUUUGGGGUCUCCCCAUGCGAGAGUAGGUCAUUUCCAGGC